UCGCUGUUCUGUUUACUUUCAGCGAACGCAAGUAGACAUGGAGAUAGACACCGGCUCGGGUAACACUCUGAUAGGAGAGGACACAUACAAAUCUCUACGGAUACGUCCCAGGUUGAAACCCAGCGCUCUCAGGUUGAGAACGUACACAGGAGAUGUGAUUUCAGUCCUGGGGGAAUUCAGAACUGCAGUAACUUACAAGGGCCAGAAGCAUGCUAACCUCAAGGUUGUUGUGGUACAAGGAAAUAGGACCAGCCUAUUGGGACGGGACUGGUUGAAAGCUGUCAAGUUAGACUGGAAGGAAGUGUGUGCUGUUGAGAAUGUGUCAGUAGCGGCGUUGAGAAGGAAGUAUGCGGAAGUGUUUGAACCAGGUCUGGGGGAGUUGAAGGAUGUGAAGCUCCGCCUGAACAUUGACCGAAGUGUGCAGCCCAAGUUUUUCAGAGCUCGUUCCAUGCCAUACGCCUAUAAGGAAAAGGUGGAGAAGCAGCUGCAAAAGGACGUAGAGUCUGGUGUACUUGAACAGGUAACGCACAGCAGGUGGGCCGCUCCGCUAGUUCCUGUCUUGAAAAAGGAUGGCACUGUCAGAGUAUGUGCUAACUUAAAGCUGACUGCAAAUAAGGCUGUGAAGUGUGACACAUAUCCGCUUCCGCGCGCGCAGGAUAUUUUCGCGCAGCUUGCUGGGGGACGAGUCUUCACUACGCUGGAUCUAGCACAGGCGUAUAACCAGGUCAUUGUGCAUGAAGACUCGCGCGAUGUACUGACGGUGAACACGCCGAAGGGGUUGAUGCGUUACUCUCGUCUGCCUUUUGGGCUCAAUUCGGCGGUCAGUCUGUUUCAGAGGGAGAUUGAGCGGGUGCUUCGUGACUUACCUGGUGUGGUGGCUUACCUGGACGACAUCCUGAUCUCCAGCAGAACGACGGAGGAGCAUCUGAAGACGCUGGACGACGUCCUCGGAAGACUGAAGAGAGCCGGGUUGAAGGUGAGACCAGCCAAGUGUAGAUUCUUGGUGCACAGUGUCGAGUACUUGGGUCACAUCGUUGACAAGGACGGCAUCAGGCCGACACCAGCCAAGGUGCGAGCCAUACAGUCAGCGCCAGAACCGAAGAACGUUAAGCAGCUGAAGUCGUUCCUGGGAAUUCUGACGUAUUAUUCCAGAUAUAUUCCAGACCGCAGUCAGAAGCUGGCGCCACUUCAUCUCCUCCUGCAGAAGGACGUGGCAUGGCGCUGGGGUGCAGAGCAGGCUGCCAGCUUCCAGUGGGCUCGUGACGUCCUCUCGUCUGGCUCCGUGUUGGGUCACUUCGCCAUCAACAAACGGCAAGUCCUAGUGUGUGAUGCCUCCUCUGUGGGAAUCGGUGCCGUUUUGGCUCAGAGGGAAGCUGAUGGGACUGAGAAGCCAGUGGGAUUCGUUUCUAGAAGUCUGUCCCCAUGUGAACGCAAAUAUUCUCAGAUCGAGAGGGAAGCAUUGGCAAUCGUUUUCGGGGUUACCAAGUUUCACGCGUACCUGGCCGGUAACAUGUUCUCGCUGGUCACCGACCAUAAACCUCUGGUGAUGUUGUUCGGUGAACAUGCUGACCUACCUGAGAUGGCGUCUUCCAGAAUCCGGAGGUGGGCGUUGAAGCUCUCGACGUACCGAUACGAGAUUCAGUACCGGCGGACUGAAGAGAUGGGCAAUGCUGAUGCCCUCAGCCGCUGUCCUCUGCCUGACUCGAACUCUUCGCAGGAGGAGGAUCUGGUGCUCCUGGUCGAUGAUCAACAGCUGUUUGACGCCAGGAAGGUAGCCCUCCUGACGUCUCGUGACCCGGUGCUGUCUCGGGUAAUGCGUCUUGUCCAGAGGGGUGGCUGGCCGCAGGUUACAGAUGCAGACCUGUCACCUUUUGCCUCGAAGCGUCUGGAGUUGUCUGUUUGUCGUGGAGUGCUGAUGUGGGGUCACCGUGUCGUCGUUCCCAGCAGGGCACGUGAAGCAGUCUUGAAGGAGCUGCAUGUGGCGCACCCUGGCAUCCGCCGCAUGAAGGCUCUGGCGAGAGGCUGUGUCUGGUGGCCUCAACUGGACCAGCAUAUUGAGCACAUCGUGAACUCCUGUCAAGCCUGCCAGGAAAGCCGACCUGCACCGGGACGUUCUCCAAUCUGCAUGUGGCCGUGGCCUGAGCGGGCAUGGUCGAGGAUCCACGUGGACUUCGCUGAGCCGAAGAAGGGAAGCGUAUCACCCCGCACAGCACAACUUCCGUAGCCCCCUCAGAGCUGAUGGUGGGGCGUGUCCUCCGAAGUCGCCUGGACCUUCUGCACCCGGACCUGCGAACUGAGGUGAAGAAACAGGUGAUCCAAAAGGAAAACCACGAUGCUAAGGACGUUCUGCGCUGACUUCGGAGCCCGGUGACAUUCCUGCGGAAGGAGGGCAGCCAUCUCGGAAUCCGACGGCGGCGCUGCAGCCGUCUCGUCCGGGGGAGUCUGGCUUGGACGCGUCGCUGCCGCCGUUCAGCACACCUGGAGCGGCGCCUAGCGCUCCAGCAGCAUCGCCAUCGUCUUCGGCGCCUGCUCCGUCGGAGCCCCGGCCUGAGGCAUCAGAGCUCGAGCCCGCGUGUGUCGCCGGCGACGCUGGUGCACGGACGGAAACCCCACUGCGUUCGGGGCUCGGAGUGGAGGCUGGUGCAGGUGUACAGUCUCGUGUGUUGGACGAGGGUGGUGGUGUUCGUCGCGGAACUAGAGUGAGAAAGCAGACUAAGUUUUUUGGUUCCUAGCUCUGUUCAUAUUACUUGUGUUUUGUGAGGGGGCAGUGUAGUGAACUAUGGUUCACGCCUCCCCCACCUGUGGCCUGAGUGCGCCGCUGCUCCUCCCUUAUCGGCCGUCCCUGUGUCCGUCCCUGCGCGGUGUCCGUCCCUGCGUGUCGCGGCGCAUGUGCCUCGGGCGGUUUUGUGUGGCCUGGCGCGGCGGCCGGUCGGCCGACCGCGCGGCAGUCUGCAGCUGGACCCAAUACAGCAAGGAGCUCGG
rnacentral:misc_RNA from 1 species